AGUGGAAUUGCUGGGUCAUAUGGUAAGUGAACAUUUAACUUUUUAAGAAAUUGCCAAGCUAUUUUCCAAGGUGGCAGUACCAUUUACGUUCCUGCCGGUAGU
rnacentral:pre_miRNA from 1 species